rnacentral:rRNA from 1 species
UACGAGGGGUGCAAGCGUUGUUCGGAAUCACUGGGCGUAAAGCGCACGUAGGCGGGUUUGUAAGUCAGAUGUGAAAGCCCCAGGCUUAACCUGGGAAUUGCAUUUGAAACUGCGAAUCUUGAAUGUCUGAGAGGAUGACGGAAUUCCUGGUGUAGAAGUGAAAUUCGUAGAUAUCAGGAGGAACACCGGAGGCGAAGGCGGUUGUCUGGCGGUACAUUGACGCUGAGGUGCGAAAGCGUGGGGAGCAAAC